CGGGCCACACGCAUGCCAGGCGAGCGCGCUACCGCUUGAGCCACAUCCCCUCUGUUUUCAAUUCUAAUGGCUAGGGAUCAGGGCAACUAAUUUAUUAGUAGGAAGUGAGUCAGAUAAAAUGUGCAGAGAAAUACUUCUUGGAAAAGAUGAGGUAAUGAAUAUGAGAAACACUUAGAGGAAGAAGGGGAAUAUAUUUGGUGUAAAAAGAGGACAAAGAAAGAUGCAGUGGUGUACACCUAUAAUCCCAGCUGCUUAGGAGGCUGAGGCAGGGGGAUUGCAAGUUCAAAGCUAGCCUGAGCAAUUUAGCAAAGUCCCUAAAGCAACUUAAUGAGACCCUGUCUCUAAAUAAAUAUAAAAAGGGGCUUAGGAUAUGGCUCAGUGGUUGAGCACUCCUGGGUUUAAUCCCCAGUACCAAAAACAAAAGGAGGCCAAAGAAUAGCAUUUUGAAGAAUUUUGAUAUGAUCUAAGGACUGACCAAUUGAUUUUUUUCUUUUCUUUUUUAUUUUUGGUCCUGGGGGUUUAACCCAGGACAUUCUACCACUGAGCUACCUCCCCAGCCCUUUUUAUUGUUUAUUUUGAGACAUGGCCUUGAACUGGUGAUCCUCCAGUCUCAACCUCACAAGUCACUAUGAUUAUAGGCAUGCACCACCAUUUCCAACUCCAACUUAUUUUUAUAGUUUAAAAUCUUUAGGAAAGCCAAGAUUUCUGGUGCAACACAUAUAAUCCCAGAGACUCAGGAGGUAGAGGCAGGAAGAUUACAAGUUGGAGGCCAGCCUGGGCAACUUAGUGAGAUCUUAUCUCAAAAAAUAAAAAGGUCUAGGGAUGCAGCUAAGUCUUAGAGAACCCCCAGGUUCAAUCCCCAUUAUGGGGGUGGUGGUAGGGAAUCCUUAGAGAUUGUUAGCCUUGUCUUUUUGGGUGGGGAUACUGAAAUGCAGAGGGUUUAAUUGGCUUGGCCAAGGUCAUUUAGCAAAUGCAUGACAGAACCAAAACUUAAGUCCAGGAAUUUUGCAUACAAGUCCUUCUACACUCUGGACUAUGUUUAGGUAGCAAAGCACUCCCAAAUGUUGUGACAUUAGGACAGAGGGCUCAUGGUCAUUCCCUGCAGUUUGUUUGGGGGGAAAUCGAAAGAGACGAAUUAUGCAAAAGGGAAUAGGGAACAUCUGUGGUCUCCAUUGCCCCACUCAUCUGACUGUUUACCAAUUUUCCCUUGAGCCAAAACAAGAACUGAGAGAAUGCCCUAAAUAUCUCUAACCAGUUCCUGCCCUCAGCAUUUCUUUGAAGGACAGCUGCACAUGUGAUAAAUUUGCAAAUAUUGGGUGGGGGUGAGGAGAGCUGGAAGUAAGGGAGGGAGGUAUUGGUCAGAUGACCCAGGUGUCCCUAUGAAGUACGAUGAAGUGCUUCAACUCUAGUCAGUCAUUUCUGGUCCCAGGGUUUCUGUGGAGCAUAAGUUAUUUUCUCAAAAUCUUUGACAAUAGUUGCCCUUCUAAGGAAGGAUGACAAAUCUUCCUGCAAUGACACAAACCUCUAAAUUAGUAAGUGAACCUGGGGAUGUGGUUGUGUGGGAUGUAGAUAGUUAAGAUCUAUUGGUCCCCUAAUUUUCGUGGUUGUUGAGUUUUGAGACUGGUUGUACAUAGCUAUUCAUCUCUUUCAACGAAUUCAACAGAUUUCAACAGAUUAUGAUUGAGUUUGGAAGUGCUGGAAACAUGGUCCCUAAUGCAGCAAGGAUCAGAGGUGGGGCUUUUAGGCAUGGAUUGGAUCGUAAAGAUUCUGAUAUCAUCAGUGGUUCAAUCUAAUUGAUAGCUGAAUGAACUACUGGGGGGCAGGACCUAGUUGGAGGAAUUAGAUCCCUGGCAGCAUAUGAGACCUGUCCCAUCCUCUGCUUCCUGUCAUUCUAUAACUGACAAUUUUUCCUCUGCCAUGGUGUUUUGCCAUGAUUUUUCUGUCUUGAAUUAGGUUGACCAUGGGCUAACCCUCUGUAACCAUGAGCCAAAUAAACUUUUCCUCCUUCAAGUUGUUCUUGUCAGGUGUUUUGGUCACACCAUCUGCAGUCCUUAUUUCUAGAUACUCCUGCACCAUAGCUCCAGCCCUUCCUGAUCUACAUCCUCUCUGAACUUCCUUUGGUGCCAUGGUGUAGUUUGGAUUUUCUUUCUUCCACUAGCAAGACAUGUAGAAAAGUUGAUUCUCAUUACAA
rnacentral:lncRNA from 1 species